rnacentral:lncRNA from 1 species
GCUACAGGUGUGACCCUAAAAAGAAAAAAAAAGAGAGAGAGAGAAUGCCUUCUAGCACAAGGCAUUUUAUAAAUUCUUUUUUUUUUUUUUUUUUGGUCUCUUUCUAAGGCUACAUUUUAUUUCAAGGAAUAAGAUGGUUCCUAAGACUGAAACUUGUACAAUAAUCCAUUCUAUUUUAAUUUCCAGAUUACCAUUAUUAAGGCUGAAGUCUGCAAAUAUGGUCACUACCUUUAGUUUACCAAUCUGUCUAAACUCCACAGUUCUCUGGUCCAUGGACUCCUGGAGAUUUUCAAGACCCUUUUAGGGGUCUAUGAGGCCAAAAGUAUUUUUCACAGCGGUAGUAAGGCAUAUUACAUGCCUUUUAAACUUUCAUUUUCUCACAAGUAUAGUUUUCCAGAGGCUACAUACUGUGUGGAGAUACUAUAAAAUGAAAUGUAUCACUUUGGGAAACUCAACAUAAUUCAGUGAACCAACAUUUUCCAAAUGACCAAUGCAUGAUGUUACCAAAUGAGUUAUGGAUAAAGAUUCAUUCAAAAUGCAACAGAUCAAAUGGCCAAAAAGCAUAUGAAAAGAUGCUCAACAUCAUCGUUGAAUGCAAAUCAAAACUACAAUGAGGUAUCUCACCUCACACCAGUCAUAAAAAGUCUACAAACAAGAAAUGCUGAACAAGGUGUGAAAAAAAGGUAACCCUCCUACAUUGUUGGUAGGAAUGCAAGCUGGGGCAACCAAUAUGGAGAACAGUAUGGAGGUUCCUUAAAAAUCUAAACACAGGAAUUGCCGCUAUGGUGCAGUGGGUCAAGAAUCUGACUGCAGUGGCUCAGGUUGCUGUGAAGGGUCAGGUUUAAUCUCCAGUCCGAGGCAGUGGGUUAAAGGAUUCUAGUUGCCGCACCUGCUGCAUAGGUCCAGCUUCAGCUUGGAUUCAAUCCCUGGCCUGGAAACUUCCACAUGCCACAGGUGCAGCCAUAAAAAUAAACAAACCAAAAAUCAACCAUAUGAUAUCAGCAAUCCCACUCCUGGGCAUAUAUCCUGAAAAAACUGUAUUCUGAAAAGACACAUGCACCCCAAUGUUCACUGCAACACUAUUUACAACAACCAAGACAUGGAAGCAACCUAAAUGUCCAUCGAAAGAGGAAUGGACAAAGAAGAUGUGGUACAUAUACACAAUGCAAUAUUACUCGGCCAUAAAAAGGAAAGAAAUAAUGGCCAUUUGUUAGCAACAUGAAUAGGCCUAGAAGUUAUCAUACUAACUAAAGUAAUAAGUCAGACAAAUACAAAUAUCACGAGAUCACUAAUAUGUGGAAUCUAAUUUAAAAAUAAUAAAAAAGACCUUACAAAAGAGAAACAGACUCAAAGAUUUUGAAACCAAACUUAGGGUUACCAAAGGGGAAACGUGGGGGGAGGCAUAAAUUAGGAGGUUGAGGUUAACAUACACAUACUACUGGAGUUCCCGUCGUGGCUCAGUGGGUAACAAAUCCAACUAGGAACCAUGAGGUUGCGGGUUUGAUCCCUGGCCUUGCUCAGUGGGUUAAGGAUCCGGCGUUGCCAUGAACUGUGGUGUCAGUCACAGACGCGGCUUGGAUCCCUCGUUGCUAAUGGCUCUGGCGUAGGCCAGCUGCUACAGCACCUAUUCGACCCCUAGCCUGGGAACCUCCAUAUGCAGUGGGAGCGGCCCCAGAAAAGGCAAAAAGACAAAAAAAAAAAAAUAUAUAUAUAUAUAUACACACUACUAUAAAUAAAACAGAUAAGUAACAAGCACCUACUAUAUAGCACAGGGAAAUCUACUCAAUACUGUGUAAUAACCUAUAUGGGAAAAUAAUGUGUAAAGGAACGGAUAAAUGUUUAACUGAUUUACACAACUUUGAAAUAAUCAACGAUACUCCAGGAUUUCCGUCGUGGCUCAAAAGGUUAAGAAUCUGACUGUCAUCCAUGAGGAUUUGGGUUUGAUCCCUGGCCUCACUCAGUGGGUUAAAGAAUUUGGUGAUGCCAUAAGCUGUGAUGUAGGUCAUAAACACGGCUUGGAUCUGGUAUGGCUGUGACUGUGGUGUAUGCCAGCAAGUGCCACUCCGAUUCGACCCCUAGCCUGGGAACUUCAUGUGCCACAGGUGCAGCCCUAAAAAGGCAAAAACAAAACAAAACAACUAAAAUAAAAUUUUUUUUAAAUGCAACAGAUCAAUGAAUUUUAAUGUGACAUAAUAUGAAAAGCUCACUGAUCAAGUUUCAGACUCCAUUAAGAAACUACCAUUUGUCAUAUUUUGGCAUAACAGCAAAAAAGACGACCCAAAAUUAUCUCAAAAGGCUAUUAAAAUACUCCUUGCCCCUUUUCCAACUUCAAAUCUGGUGACAACAGAUUCAACCAGAACAACAUACUACAAAAAACUAAAUGCAAAAGCAGCUAUCAGAACCCAUCGUUCUUCUAUUAAGC